CCGCGUUUCCCAAUAUCCGGGUGAUGUGAUGUUUUUGACAUGAAUCAUAUGACCGAGUGUCAGCAACAACCCGGAUGCUGAGCGGAGAAUGGAGGCGGUUUUAGAAACUCAACUGAGAGAAACGAUGAAGAAUCCCGCCAUUAUUGGGGUGCUCUGCGCUGAUGAACAGGGCCUAAACCUUGGCUGUCGUGGGUCACUGAUUGAUGAGCAUGCUGGCGUGGUGUCUGUUCUUGCACAGCAAGCAGCAAAACUGACUACUGACCCAACAGAUGUGCCGGUAAUCUGCUUGGAGUCGGACAGCGGGAAUAUCAUGAUCCAGAAACAUGGAGGCAUUACCAUUGCUGUGCAUAAGAUGACAGUCUAACAGAUGUUGAGGAGCCCUGAUGUGAUUAUAUGUGUCGUUCUGAGAGUUAUCGAUGUCGGCCACUUGGGAGUGCCAGUUGGAUCCUUGUUUAACGCUUUCAAAAGACAGCUACUGACCGUGUUCGAUGUCUGGGUCAUUGACAUUUUGGGGCUGGGUGCCAACGUAUCAGACCCCAUCCUGACAAGCCCCUCUGCCCUUUGUACCAACCCUUGAAUGCUGAGAAAGGCAGGAGGUCUACAUUGUGCUGAACUGGCCUCUGGCUAUAAACUCCUGAAAAUGCUGGUGUAGGAGUCGAAGUGAGGCUGAGGCUGAAUAAGACACGGUGAGGAGAUUGGAGAUUAAAGCCUUGAACUGAGAAGCUUUGGUAUUUUUGCAUCUGAUUCUUGACCUGAUCGAGGCCUUCAAAAUAAUGCCAGGUUGUGAUAGGAAAAACAGUGCAAGACUGUUUCCAUCAGACAGAAGGCAAGAGCCAAAAGGAGAUUAGAAAAACAGUUAUUUACCCAGAGCGUGGGGGUUGGGGUCAACGUUGAAUGCUUUGCAAAAGGCUGGCCUACAAUCAAAGUCCGGAAAUUCUUAAAAUGGGAUUCAGAGGGAGGCUCGAUAAAGAGAACUAUGAAAGGAAUGGGGAGUGAAGUUAGACAGAUUAAGGGUACGAGAGUGAAGGGAGAGUGGGAUCAGAUGGUUUAGGAUAUUAAAGGAUAAGGGAUGAGAGGAGAGUGGGAUCAGACGAAUUGGGAUAUUAAAGGAUAAGGGAUGAGAGAAGAGUGGGAUCAGAUGAAUUGGGAUAUUAAAGGGUACAGGAGUGAGAGGAGAGUGGGAUCAGACUGAAUGAGAUAUAAAUGGAUGCAGGAGUGAGAGGAGAGUGGGAUCAGACUGGUUGGGAUAUUAAUGGAUGCAGGAGUGAGAGGAGAGUGGGAUCAGACUGAUUGGGAUAUUAAAAGGUACGGGAGUUAGAGGAGAUUGGAAUCAAGAGGAGAGUGGGAUCAGACUGAUUGGGAUAUUAAUGGAUGCAGGAGUGAGAGGAGAGUGGGAUCAGACUGAUUGGGAUAUUAAUGGAUGCAGGAGUGAGAGGAGAGUGGGAUCAGACUGAUUGGGAUAUUAAUGGAUGCAGGAGUGAGAGGAGAGUGGAAUCAGACUGAUUGGGAUAUGAAAGGAUACAGGAGUGAGAGGAGAGUGGGAUCAGACUGAUUGGGAUAUUAAUGGAUGCAGGAGUGAGAGGAGAGUGGGAUCAGACUGAUUGGGAUAUAAAAGGAUACAGGAGUGAGAGGAGAGUGGGAUCAGACUGAUUGGGAUAUUAAUGGAUGCAGGAGUGAGAGGAGAGUGGGAUCAGACUGAUUGGGAUAUAAAAGGAUACAGAAAUGAGAGGAGAGUGGGAUCGGACUGAUUGGGAUAUGAAAGGAUACAGGAGUGAGAGGAGAGUGGGAUCAGACUGUUUGGGAUAUUAAAGGAUACGGGAGUGAGAGGAGAGUGGAUUCAAGAGGAGAGUGUGAUCAGAUGGAUUGGGAUAUUAAAAGGUGUGCGUCGAAGCGUUGGGUUAGACUGAGUGGCUCCUUUGGAAAUGAACACAAUACAGAUGGGCUGCAGGCCUAUUUGAUUUCUGGAACAUUCCGCUAUUCUAUAACAAUUCUUCUUCAAAUAAAAUACCAAGAAUAUCGGAACCAUUCACAAGGCCAAACAGAGCAAAGAGGAUCCCUCCAAACCUAACAUUUUAAAUCCAAGACAAAUGUCGCUUUUGACUCCUCCUGCAUGAAAGGAGUUUUUCUUUAUUUAGCACCUAUCACAUCUUCAAGACAUCCUGUAGCCCUUUCCAAACAACAGAUUAAAUUUGUUGUGAAGCC